rnacentral:rRNA from 1 species
AUUGAACGCUGGCGGCAGGCCUAACACAUGCACGUCGAGCGGAUGAAGGGAGCUUGCUCCUGGAUUCAGCGGCGGACGGGUGAGUAAUGCCUAGGAAUCUGCCUGGUAGUGGGGGAUAACGUCCGGAAACGGGCGCUAAUACCGCAUACGUCCUGAGGGAGAAAGUGGGGGAUCUUCGGACCUCACGCUAUCAGAUGAGCCUAGGUCGGAUUAGCUAGUUGGUGGGGUAAAGGCCUACCAAGGCGACGAUCCGUAACUGGUCUGAGAGGAUGAUCAGUCACACUGGAACUGAGACCCGGUCCAGACUCCUACGAGAGGCAGCAGUGGGGAAUAUUGGACAAUGGGCGAAAGCCUGAUCCAGCCAUGCCGCGUGUGUGAAGAAGGUCUUCGGAUUGUAAAGCACUUUAAGUUGGGAGGAAGGGCAGUAAGUUAAUACCUUGCUGUUUUGACGUUACCAACAGAAUAAGCACCGGCUAACUUCGUG